GAUGAAGAACGUAGUGAAAUGCGAUACUUGGUGUGAAUUGCAGAAUCCCGUGAACCAUCGAGUCUUUGAACGCAAGUUGCGCCCGAAGCCAUUAGGCCGAGGGCACGCCUGCCUGGGCGUCACACGUCGUUGCCCCCCAUCUACUCCUUCGGGAUUGCGGGGGGCGGAUGAUGGCCUCCCGUGCGCCUCGUCGCGCGGUUGGCAUAAAUGCCAAGUCCUCGGCGACGCACGCCACGACAAUCGGUGGUUGCGAAACCUCGGUUGCCCGUCGUGUGCGGUCGUCGCGCAUCGAGGGCUCGAAAAAAUUGUCGGGCUCCGGCUCGGCUUUCAACGCGACCCCAGGUCAGGCGGGGUUACCCGCUGAAUUUAAGCAUAUCAAUAAGCGGAGGA
rnacentral:misc_RNA from 1 species